AGUCAGCCGCGUUCUCUCAGGCAGCUCUGCUGUGUUUGCGCUCUGCUCAGACUGCUGGUCACACUUUCGCACACCCAGGAAAAGGACGAAGCAAGUCGUUACCUUAUUUUUUUAUUGCGUUUCUGACAAGGAAGGAGGAAAAGAGAGAUGCUGAAGCAGGUCUUAAACAUGACAAUGUGCUGGAGACCACCCAGAGAAUGACCCUGCAUAGAUAUGAGAAAUACACUGCGCAACGGACUGCUAAUCAGAGUUAAAAAACCAAAAGUCCCAUAUAAGCAGCAAGCGUGCAGGGUGAGAGCUCAAAAGCAAGGACCCAUCCUCAAGUGGGCAGUUCCUUCUGUACCCUGCUUGCCAGAGCACAGUUUGCUCUUCAGACUGCCCAAAGCAAUGCAGUGAGCUUAACAGGACACGCAGAGGAUGGGUUUCUCUUGCAGACCAGCACGCUUUAUGUAACUGGCUCCAGGAAUGCCACGUUCCAGCACACUGUACUUGAGGUUUGCCGUCACGCUGUACAGCUUGUUACUGCAGGCAGCCCGUAACCAGGUGGGGAAGGUAAUUCCAUGCCGGCGAGGACAGCAUGCAGACCACCCACAGCCCUACUGAUGGAUCUCGGCAAAAUCACCACUAACAAUGAAGAAUUCUAUUGUCAAAUUGAUGAAGGUUGAAGAAAAACCUCCCCCGGCUGAUCGCCAAACAACAGGUUCCAUACCAAGUAGUUCUGAUAAACUGGAGCCUUUGCUUACUCUAACACCUGGAAGUACUUCUUUGAUACAAGGGAUGUUUGUAAUACGUACGUAUCCAUCCCUCCCCAUCCUGUAGAGAUUAUGCAAGGCUAAAUGACUGUCCAUAGAUCGCUCCCUGGGGCUGAGUAAUAGCAGAUCUCUCAGCUUUGUAGGAAAAGGGUCACACACUGAAAUGAGUCAGUAGAUCAUACUGUAGCACAUGCCUGUCGUAUUCAGGCACGUGCUGGGAAGGCAAGUUCAAGCAUUUAAAUCUCUCAGGAGAAAACAUGAGCUUUGAACCACAUAAAUCUAGAAAGCUCUAAAAACAGCCUUUGGCAGAACUUGGAAAUCACCGUGAGGACUAUUUGUUCCUUCAGAUCCACUCCAACAGUGUUUUCCAUACGUCAGAAUAGUAUUUGGAGGGGCAGACAGUUUUUUCCAUUCCAGGUAACCACAGAAUACAUUAUAUCCUAUAGAGUUUGCAUUAGGAUGGCCUGGAACAGCCGGCUGCAGCUUCAUGAUCACAGGCUCAUGAUUAAAGGGAAACACAGAUAGCUUUAUUUUAUUACUGACACCUCCCGUUUAGUCUCCCAACAAGCAAAGAACGAGGAGAACCCAACCAAAGGACUUCCCCAUUGCUUGCCUUACAAUUCCCAUUGCAUAUUAUAAUGUGAACAGUAUCACAUUGGAAAAACCUCAAAGUAUGUAAUCCCCCAGACAGCCUCUUAAAAUGCUAAGACUCUGCCCCCUGGCGUAGGAUGCCCCUAAAUCAUUGGUUCCUCGAGUGGAUUAGGGAUGAAAUAAGACGAAAGCCAGAUCAAAAUAAAAAGUGAUGAAACAUUUCUAGAUGGAAGUGGAAGAUGGCAAACAUUCUGAUGCAAGAGCAUCUGUAAAUUAACUGUAUAAAGGUGGCAGUGCUUGAAAACAGCUGUUCAGCUGUCUGUUCUCUGGACCAAAAAAAUCUAUGAGGAAUUAAACACAGAUCUGGCUACAAAGAACAAUAUGCCAGUUCCGCUGCAUCUGAGAAAUAAUGAAGGCCAGAAUCAAGUGAGAAUAAAGCAAGGAAUUUUCACUCUAUUGAGAGCCAGACAAAAUACCACAACCCCAAGAAAGCUGGGCACUCCUCUUUUAGCAGCCACUUCCUCUAAUCAGAAACAGGAUACAGGACUGCAUUACCAGAUGGUGCGCUCGAUCCCAUCUAACAUUUGUGUUUCUCUGUAUUAAUGACUCCUCAAAAGAUUCUCCAAGCAAAAUCGUUUUCAAGUUGCCAAGCUUACAAAAUUAAUUUGAGAUAUCAAAAUCAAGCUGAGAUCCUCACAUCUGAUGCUACGGGCCAAGUUCUGCCUGCAGUUGCAUCCAUACCUUCUCCUUCAGUAGACUACAUGAGCACCGCAGCAGAGACUUUGGUCCUGAAAUUACAGUCUAGCAGGCAGCAUAGGUGCUAAUGAACAGCAGGAACACACGAGCUCACAUUCUACAAAGAUUUUCACACACAAAGCCCACAACACUUACCAAAGUGCUUGGUAGGCAAACACACAGACAUACCAAACAGACUGGCUGAGACAGAAGAAAACACAAGCGCUAAGGAUCCUCAACUCAACAGGCUACUCAAGGCACUGACAUGCACACCAAUGCAGCAGAAUGAAGCUGAGCUCUCAGUGCCGCCUCGGGUACCUUGCUAACAGCCCUGCAUCAGCCACCUCAGAGCUCCUCCUUCCAGCUACUGCAACACACCCAAUCAGUUACUGACAGAAACAAUGCCCACCUAUUAAUACAGCAAAACAGCUCUUACAGGCAACACUAACCGUGAUCCCUUGGUAACACUCUUACAAGUAAAGCUGUCUCGUUUUCAAUGCCAUUUUUCCACAGCAUUACCUCAGCACACAGAUCAGGGGAAGAUAUUUCACUUCUUAAAUACUUUGUUCUUUUGUCAGAGUACUCACAUGCUGUGAGUAACAGAGCUCAAUCCACUGUUUUAGUGAAUUGAGAAAGAAAACCAAAAUGUUACCAGAAACGCAGAAUACAACUUCAAAACAUGGCAAGGCUGUCCUAACACCUAAAAAUGCAGUUUUUUUCAUGCAUUUAUUCCUCAAGCAGAACAAAAGAAGAAAAAAAGACGUGCAAUAUAGGAUGAAACAACUAUGAAAAGUAUAAACACAUUUAAAAAUCAGCAAUUUGAGCAAG